UACGAAGGGGGCUAGCGUUGCUCGGAAUUACUGGGCGUAAAGCGCACGUAGGCGGAUCGUUAAGUCGGGGGUGAAAUCCUGGAGCUCAACUCCAGAACUGCCUCCGAAACUGGCGACCUUGAGUUCGGGAGAGGUGAGUGGAACUGCGAGUGUAGAGGUGAAAUUCGUAGAUAUUCGCAAGAACACCAGUGGCGAAAGCGGCUCACUGGCCCGAUACUGACGCUGAGGUGCGAAAGCGUGGGAGCAAACAGGG
rnacentral:rRNA from 1 species